CCUUGCGGCCACUGUUGGGGGCGGUGCGAAGGCUCUCAGGAAGUUCCCUACCCCAGCAGACGUUCCCAGCUCCCACCCGGGGCGAGACGGCUGAGAGGGGCCAUACUCACACCACCAGGCGACAGAUCAUCCAGGACACCAUCCUGCCAGCCUUGGGGACAACCCCAGAAAGACGCCCAGAGGGACGUUCACGCCAGACCUAAGACGGAGGGAUCAGCGGAGGUGCGGGAACCCGUGGGGUGGUCCGGCUGCCCCUCGGCGGAGGCGGGGCCGACGGCCCGCUGGCUGCGACCCGCAGUUCCGGGAGCCUGGAGGACACGAAGGCCAGCGGACCGGGGCCGCGGCGGCCCAGCAGGAGGAGGAAGGCUGCGACUGAAUAGGGGACCAGCUCAAGGAAGAGUGGGGAGUUCCAGAAGAGGAAGGGGACAGCCACGACUUGGGAGGUAACCAUGCACAUGUGAGCCUCAGCUCCUUUGGUGCCUGCUGCAGGACUGCCCCUCCCCACUGGCUGCCUCCUGGAGCCGCGCACCUGACCCCAGCAUCCCUGGCCUCUCUCUAAUCCUGUUCCCUGGGAAGGGUUCUGUGCCCACCCUAAGCCCACCCAGCUGGGACAGUCUCUCACAUGCAGACUCCUGGUCCCAAUGCCUGUGCUUGGUGAAUCUAAGGCAUAGGACGUCGCUUACCGCAGGCUCAGCGUGGAGAGGGGUGAGCCUGGCGGCUAAAGAGUGUCACCCUCCUUGGCUUUGGCAGAGUGAGUGGACCUUGUUUCUUGCAGCCUUUGGUCGUGAGCUGUUGACACAGUCACCCAGUUACACUGGGUUGCUAAGCAGCGCUCUGGACACAUGGACAAGCCCCAGGGCAGGUGACCAGGCAGGCACACAGCAGAAAGCCGGGCAUUCAGGGGCCAAGGGAGCAAAACAUCUCCCACCCCCCAGAGGAGCUCCCCCCUGGGGGAAGCAGCUGUCAAAGUGAUAUUUAUCUUUCUGCUGGGCAACGGCGUGCCAAUGUGUCUGGAAGGCUCAACCCACUUUCCCUGGCAACCUCUCCCAGGCACAGGACAGGGCCCAUGUCCCAUUUGCAAAAGCAGGACAGGCCGCUCCAGGAUGAUGGGGGAGCCUGCUGGGCUGAGAGCACUUGAACGUGGCUUGAGGAAGUGGAAACCCAGAGGAGUCACCCAUCCUGAGGAGCUGUCGCGGGUUGGCUGGGUACCAAGGCUGCAGGAGCCACAAUCCCAAAAGAUGCGGGAACCAGGGGAUGGUCCCAGCCUGAGGAAGCAACAGCUACAGAAAGAAAAGCAGAAAGGCUUUCAGCUGGGGGGCCCUCCUCUCCACAGUGUACGGCGACAGGAGCGUAGACAGGCGUGGAACUGAGUGUCUGUCAGCGUCCCCGAGUGCGUGCAGAAGGGGCGGGCAGGGGUGAGUGCACCCAGCGCAGCCACGGGCUGCAGUGGGGAACACGGGCAGACAAGCAAACACCCAGAGCACCGACAGGAGAGACCAGAGGGUCAGAAGGACAAGCCUGAGGACAGGCAGGUCCCCUCCUUCCCAGCAACCCCCUGGCACCACCAAUAUGUACGAGGCAGGGAAGCAGAGCAAGGGGGCCUGCGGGUGGGGUGAGGGACACUGGGUGCCAGGGGUCCUGGGUGUGCCCGGUGCGUAUACAGGUGCUCAUGCUGACUACAGAGGUGAUAAAUGUCUCCCUGGCCAGUACAUGGGGUGUGUCGUGCCCACCGGGUGUGUGUAUGCAAGGGCUCGGGUAUAGGCUGGCCACGUGUGUCUUCACACGGGCACAUCUGCUGCUCAUGGAGUCCCCCACCCAGCCUCCAGAGGCCACCCCGAGGAGCCCAGAGGCCUCGGACACCCCUAGGCACUGAGAUCCACCACCACAUGUCGGUACACCAGCGUCUGUCCCUUGAAGCUGGGGGCCAGGAGCAGCUGGGCGUCCCCAGCAGGCACGUAGCAGAAGGCCCGAGGGGCCUGCACGGCCAGCUCCUGGAACCGUACAAACUUCUGUCUCCCCUCGUCCCACUGGUAGAUCUGGGUGAAGGAGAAGUCGCUGCCCAGCGCCAGGUAGCGGCGGCCACCCACGAGGAAGGGCUGCAGGGCCAGCGAGCCCCGGGAGGGCAGGGCCUGCACCUCGGAGAAGCGGGUGCCCUCCCAGCGCAGGAUCUUGGAGUCCCCGAUGUAGCGGCUGAGGCACAGGUAGCUGUCUCGGCCGGCACGGAAGUGUUUCACAGCCUGGGCGUCAGGCACCUGGGUCACCUCCCCCUGGGCCACAAACUGCUUCUGGGUGCGACUCCACUGGUAGAUGACGGGCGCCUGGGAGCUGCUAGACACAAUCAGCCGUGGUUUGCCCUCGCCGUCCACAAACUCAAGUUGCUGUGCUAAUUAAUCCUGCUGAAAAGGACCCCAUUACUCUUCCAUUUGACGCAGAAAGAAACUGAGGCUCAGAGAGAAGAGGGGAUCUUACGCUGCUCUGUCACCCAGGCUGGAGU